UGAGGAAUCUUGCGCAAUGGGGGCAACCCUGACGCAGCAACGCCGCGUGAGUGAAGAAGGCCUUCGGGUCGUAAAGCUCUGUCAAGUGGGAAGAAUAGCCUUAAGGUGAAUAAUCUUAAGGUAUGACGGUACCACUGGAGGAAGCACCGGCUAACUCCGUGCCAGCAGCCGCGGUAAUACGGAGGGUGCAAGCGUUAUUCGGAAUUAUUGGGCGUAAAGAGCGUAUUGGCGGCUGGAUAAGUCAGAUGUGAAAUCCCUGGGCUCAACCCAGGAAGUGCAUUUGAAACUUUCUAGCUAGAGGUUGGUAGGGGAAAACAGAAUUCCACGUGUAGCGGUGAAAUGCGUAGAUAUGUGGAAGAAUACCGGUGGUGAAGACGGUUUUCUGUACUAAACCUGACGCUGAGGCGCGAAAGCUAGGGGAGCAAACAGG
rnacentral:rRNA from 1 species